GAGCUCCUCACGGCACGGGCGGGGCUGGGAGAAUCUGGCAGCUCAACCAUCAACAUAGAUGUGCUGGCAGCACUCUGGGCUGGACACACUGCAUCCAUCAGGAAAUAUUUCCCUCAUGUCGUACCACUGCCAUGCUUAGCCAGGAUGGGAGCUGUCCUUGGGCUAAGGUAACAGAGAUCCUUAGGCUCUCUUGGUGUCCCUGCUCUCCUCUGCUCUUCCUGGUCCUGAUUUGCUCUAGCUAGGCUGAUGAUGGACCAUCUCCAUAGGGAAACUGACAUAGAGCCUGCUAAAACAUUGGUAUACUGAGCUGAGCCUACCCUGAGCUGGUGGUGGCUCAAAUGCAAUUCCAAGGCAAUGCUUUAUCUUGGAUUUCUAAAUUACUAACCUAGGCCUCAAAAAAUGGCUAUUUUUGUCUCUCUUAUUGGGUGGUGAGGUCUUGGAACAGAUUGCCUAGGGAAGCUGUGGCUGCGUCAUCCCUGGAAGUGUUCAAUGCCAGGCUGGACAGGACUUGGAACAACCUGGGAUAGUGGAAGGUGUCCCUGCCCAUGGCAGGGGUGGGAUGGGAUUUAAGGUCUCUUCCAACCUAAACCAUUUCAUGGUUUUAUGACAUUUGGACACGGAAGUGUCCCAAAUGCUAGAGCAGCUGACAAAGAAAUUACUAGAAAGUGGAUCUGGUUUUGAUAAACCUGUUUGGAUUUUGGUGUUAAAAUCAUUCUUCGCCUGUAAACUUUGACUCAACCUUAGGUGCAAAUCCAAGGUAGCAGGUCAUAAGGGUCACUGGUAAAACAGGGGAAGGGAGGAUGGAUGUGGACUGAGAGGUCUUUCACACUAGUUACAAACACAAGUGAAGGCAAACAUAGAAGACAGUGACUUUGACAAUCUCAUUCCUGAGAGGAGCCAGGGAACAGCAGGGUCCUUGAACACAAGUCUCACAUCUGUUGAUGGAAAGUUGCACGGUAGGAUUUUUCCAGAAGUAUACCAGGUUAGUCUUCCUGCCUGCAGGAGCCCAUGGUCAUCCUGCUCUGCCUGCAGCCAUGUGAGGACCAUAAGAGCCUGGCCAUGAACCAUUGGUCAGAUCCUCUCACUUGCUGAGCUCAGCAGAACCACAGCAAGGGGGAAGCUGAGAACACUGAGGAUUAUCAGAUGAACAAGAAGCAUCAACUGCAUUCUUUGAUCACCUCCAGGUUAACACCCAUGGCAUGAUUUUAAUUGCUUAAGAUACAGUCACACUGCUUGGAUCUG
rnacentral:lncRNA from 1 species